ACGAGGUAGCAGGGCAACUUGCUACUUAGUGGCGGAAGGGUUAGUAAUACAUGAAUAACCUACCCUCAACCUGGGGAUAACUCCUGGAAACGGGUGCUAAUACCGAAUGAGGUGAGAUGAGCGAUAGCUCGAUUCAUCAAAGUAGGGGAUCUCGUAAGAGACCUCGCGGUUGAGGAGGGGUUCAUGGGAUAUCAGCUAGUUGGUGUGGUAAAGGCGCACCAAGG
rnacentral:rRNA from 1 species